rnacentral:lncRNA from 1 species
AUUUAUAUACAUGUAUGCAUGUGGUGAUGAAAGUGUUGAAUGAAAAGAAAAGAGGUGAGAUGUAUUGAGUUGUUGAUCUCGGCACUAAGUGUGUGGGUAUAAACAUUUAUGAUCAUGAGAUUGGCACUAAGUGUGCGGGUUUAAAUUGUACAGCACUAAGUGUGCGAGUUUGAUUAUAUAGCACUAAGUGUGCGAGUUGAUUAUAUAGCACUGAGUGUGCGGACUUAAUAUAUAUUUU